rnacentral:rRNA from 1 species
UACGUAGGGACCAAGCGUUGUUCGGAAUUACUGGGCGUAAAGCGCACGUAGGCGGCUUUGUAAGUUAGAGGUGAAAGCCCGGGGCUCAACUCCGGAACUGCCUUUAAGACUGCAUCGCUUGAAUCCAGGAGAGGUGAGUGGAAUUCCGAGUGUAGAGGUGAAAUUCGUAGAUAUUCGGAAGAACACCAGUGGCGAAGGCGGCUCACUGGACUGGUAUUGACGCUGAGGUGCGAAAGCGUGGGGAGCAAACAGG